rnacentral:rRNA from 1 species
UACGUAGGCGGAAAAUUAAGUCAGUAGUGAAAUCCUGCAGCUUAACUGUAGAACUGUUAUUGAUACUGGUUUUCUUGAAUAUAGUUGAGGUAGGCGGAAUGUGUAAUGGAGCGGUGAAAUGCUUAGAUAUUACACAGAACACCGAUUGCGAAGGCAGCUUACUAAGCUAUGAUUGACGCUGAGGUACGAAAGCGUGGGGAGCGAACAGGAUUAGAUACCCUGGUAGUCC